GAGGCCCUCUCUCUCCCACCUUCGAAGAAUCGCCCGGAUUUCCCUCUGGAUCCGAGGGCCCGCGGCUGCAGCCCCGGGCAGGAAUGGAACAGGAAGGAAGAUAGAGGAGCAGAGACAUGAUGGGAAGCUGGGCUUGCAAGGGCAGGCCUUCCUGAUGAGACUAACGGAAGCAAAUAGCCCAGCCCAGGCAUGUGGGACACACAUGCCAUGGAAUCACAGCCAGCAGUUUCAGAAUACCUCCCGCAAGUCAGACUCCUCAUGGCUGUUACCUCUGGCACACACAGCGCCCUGGCGUGCCUUGGAAUACGUUUUAAUGGGCGAAGAAACAGACUCAGAGAUUCAGCUACUUGCCCACGGCCACAAUGAGCACAGGCCCAGGCUCUCCCCACGCUCGCUUUGUGGCUUUGGGUAAGUUGUGGAGCCUCGCCAGCCGCAGUUGCCAUCCUUAAGAUGGGGGUAAUAAUAUCCGCCUCCUGCCAAGGGUCGGGGUAAGGGUUGAGUACCGUGGUACGGAACUGGUGCUCUGCCAGUUUUCAGUGAUUGCUACUUUCACCAUCCUCUGCUUCCUCCCGUGUCUACACUCUGAGACCUUCCUCCGUGUUAGGUGUGGCAAGUCUUUUGUAGGAGGGGGAAUUAUUUUUCAUGUCUGCAAAGCCAUGGAGU